AAUAGAACUGCUAUUCGGCAGUUGCAUCUUCAAGCGUGUGAAGUAAACAGUUUUGUAAAAUGAUAAACGUGAACAUGCAUGAAAAUAAAAGCAAACUUGGGAGAGGAAGCAGUUUUGUGGGACAUGUAAAUAAAACACAAAAUAAAAUAACCUCAAGAAAACAAUUUCAAAUUGUUGUGCUAGAGCCUGGAGGAGAAGAUCAAAUUGGAGAAAAACCAACAAGAACUGGUUGUUCUGUAGUUCUCAAUUAUUAAAUUUGUGUGUUUUGUUCUCCAUCACAAUGCUUCUUAUUCCUUAAUUUUCUCAUGCAUUUUCACAGGAUUAUUGAAAAUUUUGCACGUUAAUUGUAGUGGUUUGAUUGUGGUUUUUGUUCUCUGCAGGUUUUUCUUCUCUUAACAUGUCAAAUAAAUCAAUCGAUAGGUUAGGCUUUCAUUUUUUUUAUUUUUCUUCAGAGGACUUUUAAGGACAUCCUCAAGUCACAGUGAUGGAAUCAAAGUCUUCAGACUCUCUUGGGGUUGGCAGACAAGGGGUUGCUUGCAUUGAAACCUCGCUGUCCGGCUUCUCCUUUCUUAUGAAAUUUUAUCCCUUUCCUAUAAGCCAGUUCGUGAAGGCCCUUUUCAAAUUGAGCGUUCCAGGUAAAUGGCGAGAAUUAUUCAAGUAUGCGACAUCAUUUUAAUUUCCUGUGAAAAAUCUUCUCUUAUAAUUCUAUUUGAGUGAUUGAAUGUGCACAUGUGAGCUUUUAGGUUUGGUUUUGUAUUUAUUGGGUGUAGAAAAAUAGGAAGUGAGGCACACAAUAACCCUACCACAAUUAUGUAUGAAAUAAAUUGGAUCUACUAAAAAUUCAUAUUUUGGGUGUGUUGUUAGGAAGAAAUGCCUAAACUCCGAAUUUGUAUGGAACAAAUUCAUUAUAGAAUAAAUUAAUUGUAUGUGUUAUUGCUUUUAGUACUAAAUUGACUUCUUUA